UACAGAGGGUGCAAGCGUUAAUCGGAAUUACUGGGCGUAAAGCGUGCGUAGUCGGUUAUUUAAGUCGGGUGUGAAAGCCCCGGGCUCAACCUGGGAAUUGCAUUCGAUACUGGAUAGCUAGAGUUCGGCAGAGGGAAGCGGAAUUUCCGGUGUAGCGGUGAAAUGCGUAGAUAUCGGUAGGAACACCAGUGGCGAAGGCGGUCUCCUGGGGGCAUUCUUGACGCUGAGGCGCGAAAGCUGGGGGAGCAAACGGG
rnacentral:rRNA from 1 species